CUAUCACCUAGCGGCGGACGGGUGAGUAAUGCUUAGGAAUCUGCCUAUUAGUGGGGGACAACAUUUCGAAAGGAAUGCUAAUACCGCAUACGUCCUACGGGAGAAAGCAGGGGAUCUUCGGACCUUGCGCUAAUAGAUGAGCCUAAGUCGGAUUAGCUAGUUGGUGGGGUAAAGGCCUACCAAGGCGACGAUCUGUAGCGGGUCUGAGAGGAUGAUCCGCCACACUGGGACUGAGACACGGCCCAGACUCCUACGGGAGGCAGCAGUGGGGAAUAUUGGACAAUGGGCGCAAGCCUGAUCCAGCCAUGCCGCGUGUGUGAAGAAGGCCUUAUGGUUGUAAAGCACUUUAAGCGAGGAGGAGGCUACUUUAGAUAAUACCUAGAGAUAGUGGACGUUACUCGCAGAAUAAGCACCGGCUAACUCUGUGCCAGCAGCCGCGGUAAUACAGAGGGUGCAAGCGUUAAUCGGAUUUACUGGGCGUAAAGCGCGCGUAGGCGGCU
rnacentral:rRNA from 1 species